GCCAAAGCCUGCGCCCCCGACGGGGCGGCCGGGCUAGGAGCCUACCGCCCUACCCGCCUCCCUCCGGGCGCCCCGGAAAGGUGCACCUUACUCGGGCGGGCUCGAGGAACCAGGACGGGGCGCCCUCACCCAGGGAGAGCAGGGUAGGACUUAGGGGUGUGGGACGCGGAGACUCGCCCCGCGGCGGCGGUGACACACCGGGUGCCAGGGCUCCGGCAGGGGCUCCGGUGAAGACGCCCUGCACUAGGGCGGUCCGCCGCAACCAGGAACGGACAAAGCACGGCGCUG
rnacentral:lncRNA from 1 species